rnacentral:lncRNA from 1 species
CUCAUCUUCUUCCACUGCUCUCCCCAUGGAGAAAGAGCUGUUGUCAGGAACCCUCUGCUCAAGUGAUGGGACGCCAUUGUAAUAGGUCUGGAUGCAAACACUGCAUCAUGUUCCUUCAAAAUCUCCCUGGCAAUCUCAGGCGAAAUCACGGGAAUGACAUGGACAUUGCCCAGUUUGAUGCAUGCAAUCUCAGUGUUGAGUUCCUCCAAAAGUCCAAGUAUCCACCGGAAUACCGGCUUUUUUGUGAAUAAUUCAGGCAGGUUCCCAACUAAUGGCCAUGGAGUUGGGCCAGGAGGGAGCAGUGGCAUUUGCUUGGUGAUUAGGGUUUUGGGUUUGAGUUUGUAGAGGAUGAGAAAAGCGAAAAAGAAAAGGAAAAGGAGCAAGAGGAUGAAUGGUAAAUGAAGAUGAAGUGAAACGAGCUUCAAGGUUUCAGAAUUAUGAGAGAGCAGGAAGAGGAAUGAAUUUGGAAAUGAAGAAGACAUGGUUGAGUUGCAGCUGCUACCCAUCAUCAUUUGUCUCUUGCUGAUCUUCAGUACUAGGAUGCAAAUUAUGAGAAACCUCCCAGACCAAUGUUAGGGUGAAUUCACAAUAUUUCAACCAACACCAAGAUUUUUUUACUAUUUCUUUGUGCAAAAUUAAAUAGGUAAUAACAACUAGUAGUAAUAAAUAUAUAAACUCAUGUAACAAAAAAAAAAUAAGAUACCAUAAUUUUUACAUGGAAAACCCUCCAAUGCGAAGGGAAAAACCAUAAGACCUAAUUCAGUUCAAACUUCUAUUAUCAAUAAUAAUGGGUUAUACUUGUCUUUUCUAGAAUAAUCUCUAAAGACUACCAAAUACAUCAAAAGUACAUAUAUACUUGGAUUAUACAAUCUCUCUUGGUAAAAGAAAUAAAGAAAAAUUGGAGAAAGUAUAAAAAAAAAUGUCGUUACUGUUCAUGAGCAGUAACACCAGUUCUCGAGCUCAAAAUCUGAUCUUAUCGUUCAUAUUGUUUAUACUCGAGUUUUGAACAUUUCCUCCAAAUUUCCACUGGAUCGAACCACAGAUGAAGCAGGAUCAACCUAUUGAUAAAAUCUGGACAAAUGUGUUUUUUUUUUCUCUCUUAUCUUCUCUUUGUUUUUUUUUUUUUUUUUUCUCGAUUUCUUUUUUGUUUUUUUGUUUUUUAAUGUAACUGACUUGGCCCUAAGCACAUGGGGCCCACUUCCCCACAUACGAGGGAGCCCAACAACAAAUAAAAGCGAAAAGGAAAAGGAAGAUGAGCAAGAAAAUGAACAGUCAAUGCAGAUGAAUUCGAAGUAAAGCAAGCUCUAAGGUUUCAGAAUUAUGAGAGAGCAGAAAGAGUAAUGGAUUUGGAUAUGAAGAAGACGUGGUUGAGGUGCAGCCGCUAGUCAUCAGCAUUGGUCUCUUUCUGAUCUUCAGUACUAGGAUGAAAAUUAAUUAAUGGUAGGCAUGCAUUGGAAAUCUCCCGUACAUUUGCUCUCUUUACACUGGUUAUAAAUGAAGCGGACAAGAUUGUCGGCUUCUUCAGUUCUCUUCUGGAGAAGUCACAUAUGUCUCUCCUGCUUAUGCACCUCAGAAGUGAGGAUACUUCUCAUCUUCUUCCACUGCUCUCCCCAUGGCGAAAGGACUGUGGUCAAGAAUCUGCUCAAGUGAUGGGACUCCAUUGGAAUAGGUCAGGAUGCAAACACUGCAUCAUGUUUCUUCAAAAACUCCCUUCCAAUCUCAGGCGAAAUCACGGGAAUGACAUGGACAUUGCCCAGUUUGAUGCAUGCGAUCUCAUUGUUCAGUUCUUCCUAAAGCCCAAGUAUCCACCGGAAUGCCGGCUUUUUUUGUGAAUAAUUCAGGUAGGUUCCCAACUAGGCCAUGGAGCUGGACCUCGAGGGAGCAGUGGCAUUUGCUUGGUGAUUAGGGUUUUGGGUUUGAGUUUGUAGAGGAUGAGAAAAGCGAAGAGGAAAAGGAAAAGGAGCAAGAAGAUGAAUGGUAAAUGAGGAUGAAGUGAAUCCAAGGUUUCAGAAUUAUGAGAGAGCAGGAAGAGUAACGGAUUUGGAAAUGAAGAAGCCAUGGUUGAGUUGCAGCUGCUACUCAUCAUCAUUUUUCUCUUGCUGAUGUUAAGGUGCAGAACAAUGGAGUCUGGAUCCCUCCGAAUCCUAAUCCUAAGACCCAUCGAAAAUGUGAAGGUACCAUUCUCCCACACUAAUAUUAUUUAUUUCUAAAGUGAUGUCGAUUAGGGAGGAAACUUCCGAAAGAAAUAAUAUUGAAGAGUUGCUUCUUACGCAUGAAAUGAAGAAGCAAACUUUUUAUUGAAGAAAAACAUUCUCUCUUUUAUGAAAAGAACAUUUCAAUCUCUUACUAUCACUUUCAAUAAAAACAUGACAAAUUCUCAUCAAAGACAGGACCACUUCUUUGGACAGCAAUAAAUAUGCUGUCACACAUCGACAGAAAAACAACUUGGGUGUUUUAAAAAAUACUUUUCAAUUAUUUUCAAGAAUUUCAUAUUAAAAUAAUAAUGAUAAUUAAUUAAUUUUACGUCCGAUCCCACUACUUCAAAAAUAUCAUUGAAUAUAAAUGCAUGACGUAAAGGUUUGGAAGUAUGAUUGCAUGUAGAUGACGUAAUAAAAGAAGAAAAAGGGAAAAAAAAAACCUACAAAUCAAUUUAAAGUAAAAUAUAUUUUUUUUAAUUUUUCUAUUUUAUACAUUGAUAUCUUCUUUCAUGUAUAAUAUGUUGGAAUUUAUAUAUGUAAAUGGAAAUUAGGAUUUUUUUUUUUUUUUUUUGAAAAACAUGUUUGUUAAUAAAUACAAUUUAUUUUAAAUAACGUAUCUUGUACAACUUCUUCUAAAAGAUGUGUUUGUUGUUUUAAGACACGACCCUUUAAAAGAUGUUUAGUAUUUUAAAGGCACAUCUCUUUUAAAGGUUAUCAUCAAAUCUAUAAAUAGGGACUCUCAUGACAUAUUAAUUCAUCAAUUCUUUUCAUUUUUUCUUCUUUUUACCAAAUAUUUGGUAUUUAAGAAAAUACAAAUUAUUAAGUGAUUCACUAUUUCUCAUGAUUUGAAGUGCUAUUAUCAUAAAAAAAAAUGAUCAUUAUAUCCUAAGAGGCAAUUGCCCAUAAAUAAUAAGCACCUGAGUGAGACAAAUUCGUCUUAAAGUCAUAGAGUCAAACUAUCAAUCUUAUUUGUGAGUUUCGAUUUUCUACUUCAUUUUAUUUGUAUAUUUAUUAUACACACUUAUUAUCCAUAUAUUUUCAAUGAUCUGGAUAACAUAAUAUUUAUUUUUUCAUAUUCAACGGUUUUAAAUAGUGUUAUACAUAUCUAGGAGUUGAAUUCAUUUUUAACUCCAAAUUUUAAGAUAUGGGGGAAUUGGUCCAAUAGGUUCAAAAUUUAUAUACCAAUGUAGCGAUCCCAAUUCCCACAUAAGAAGAGAAAAAUAAAAUACCAUUAAAAUAUCUUUAAUAAUAACUUCCUAUCUAUCAUAUAUACUGGUGGGAUUUUUCCAUAAAUUAAUUUAUGAUUAAAAAAAAGUAUUUUGUGGUAGGAUUUUUUUUUUGCAAAAAAAAUUAUUUGUAGCAAGUUUGUUAUUAUAAGUCCAUGAAUAUCUGGUAUCCACACAGUUAAUAAAAGAUCGAAGCUUAUCAUCUAUAGUUAAUAAAAGAUCGAAGCUUAUCAUCUAUAAUAAUAAACUGAUAUAAUAAGGUAGAUGAUUGACCAUCAUCCUAGGAGUCUUUUCUUAAUCAAUUUGAUAAUAUCAUAUAGUUAAUUACAAUGGAAUCCAUUUGUAAUCAAUAUGAUGUUACCUUAUUAACGAUUAUCUUAACAAUGAAGUCUUUUUUUUAAUAAUUUUGAUAAUUACAAUGUAAUCUCUUUGUAGUCAAUUGAUAACAUCAUAUGACUUUAGAGGUCUAGGUUAGAUGAAAUAUAUGGAAAAAAAACUACUCAAAAUUUGGUCAAUGCAAUACCAAGACCCGUACAUUGAUCCUUUUUAUUAGGUAAAGGAUACCUAAUCCAUUGAAGAACCUCAUUUAAAGGCUUGUAGUUGAUUAUAAGUCCUGAGGCACCUCUUUCAAUCUCAGCAAAUGCCCAAAUGGAACAGUGAAUGCAAUCUUAUAUUUAUCUUUUUCUUCACUUUUAAUUUGUCAAAAUCCUGAUUUUAAAUCAAAUUUUGAAAAGAUUAAAGCAUCAUGAAGGCAACCAAUAAAAUCCCUUUUAUUACUUAAAGGAUACCUAAUCCAUUGAAGAACCUCAUUUAAAGGCUUGUAGUUGAUCACAAAUCUUGGGCCACCUGGAACUCCCUUACUAACUCAACUCUAUCCUUUUAUGAUGAAUUUCUUCUAAUUAAUGAAAGUUCUUCAUCAUAUGAUAGUUCUUCUUCACAAUCAUCAUGUGAUUGUAUGAAAAACUGAAGUAUCAACUAUGUGUCAAACAUGAAUGGAGUGUGAUGCCUUUGAUCAUUAAAUUUGGUUACAAUUCCUUCAUCACUUACUCAAUUGGUUUGGUUGUGCCUUGGUAAAUUUCAAAUCUUAAGAAUUUAAUCCCGCUUUGAAAUAGUUUGAUCUUAGGGUAGAAAUUACUAGUCCAUUCUCUUUGACAAUUUUUUGAAAGAUUUUUAUAUGCUUGAAGUGUUGAUCAAUAGAAUUUAAAAAUAUAAGAACAUCAUCAAUAUAUACAAUGGUAAAGCUUGUAUAGGGAUUGAAAAUGUUAUUAACCAUUAUCUUAACAAUGAAGUCUUUUUUUAAUCAUUUUGAUAAUUACAAUGCUUGAUAACAUCAUAUUACUUUAGAGGUCUAAGUUAGAUGACCCAUUAAAAUACGUCAUGUUUGGGGUGGAAUAUUAUGUCAACGAUUUUAAAAAGAAAUAUAUCAUAUGACAAAAGAGUGGGUUUUGAAAAUUUCACUCAUUAACAAGAGAUUCUAAAAAGGAAUUUUAAAAUUUUAUCAAAUGUCUAAGGUUCUAAGAAAGCAAUUCCAAACAUUAAGAAGUACUACUUAUGACCUCUUUCAAAAUCAAAUGCGUAAUGUAAAGUUGGACAACGUUUGUGAACAUAUUUAGGAGUCAACUCAGAAGUUUAGGAUAGAAGAGUCAACUUAGAAGGAUGUAAGAUUUAAAUAUUGACGUGGGCACGCAUGACAUAUACACUUCAAUGAAAGGAAAAAAAGAAAAAAAAGAAAAAAGGAAAAAAAAGAAAAGAAAAAGAAAAACCCACUUCAAAUCAAUUAAAACACAAAUAUUUUUUAUAAUAUAUAUUUUUUAAAUUUUAUAUUAUAUUUGGUGUAAAAAACAUUUUCUAGUUUUUAUUUUCUAAAAAUUAUUUUAUUUUAUCUUUUUUUUAUUAAUUAUUUAAGAAAAUAAAAUUUAUAAAAUCUUACUUGAUUUUGAGUUUUUAUUAAUGUAAAAAAUGGUUUAGAAAAUAUAACUAAAAUUUUAUAUAAUACACAUGUUAUUAUAUAAAGUAUAUUAUUAUAUUACAUUUAUUUAUUAUUCUUUUUAUUUUUAGAAAUACCUUUAUAGCUUCUCACUAUUAUAAAAUUAAAAUAUCAAGGACACAAACUUUUAGCUUUAACAACACAUAAUAUGAUUUAUAUAGUUUCUGACUAUGAGAUAAAACAAAUAAAAAUUAUGAUAAUAAAAGUGAAAUAUAAUGACAUAUCAUUUUUCAUAUAUCUUUGUAUCCCCAAAGCAUCAUGUGAUGAGUGGAGAAGAAAAGAAAAUUGGAUGAGAGCAUUUAUCUUUAUUAACUCAUAAAUCCUUAUUUAUAGGCUCUACUCAUCAAGCUUCGGAAUGGAUGAAGUUUUAAUCAAUUCCCAUACAUGGAAGCAUGCAAGCGUGGUUUUGCAUGAGCAUGGAGAGGCUUGGCUAGAAAGAGGUCGUUCAUUGAUUCUGUGAGGUCAAUUUGGUCCUGGUUCGGUGGCACACUCCACGAAAAACAUUGAAGGAGUCUCGCCAAGAGUGUAACUGUCAAGGCUGUCCCUAAGGCAGUUCCAGGACACCCGCGUCUCCCAGUACUAAAUGAAAUGAACCGAAGCUCAGGCUCAGCUAAAUCCACCACUUCAUCAUUCAUAUGCCGCUCUGGUUUAAACUUUAAUGGCUCUUCCCACACUCUAGGGUUCCGUCCAAGCCCUACCCGGCUCAGCAGGACAUGGCUGCCUUUGGGGAUGAAGUAGCCGGCCACAACAGCGUCCGCCAUGGACACAUGGGGCACGUUGAAUGGUGCUAUGGGGUGAAGCCGCAGAGCUUCCCUAGCACAGGCUUUAACAUAUUUGAGCUGCGCGAUAUCGGAUUCUUGAACAAGUCUAUCCUUUCCAACCACUCUAUCGAUUUCUUCUACGGCCUUCUGCAUAAUCUCGGGUUGAUUGAUCAUUUCUGCCAUUGCCCACUCAGCUGCAUGCGCUGGAUUAUCCACUAUUUCAAUCAUCAGUUCCUGCCAGAUUGUAUAUAGUUAAUAUAUAUUGAACCCCAAAGAGAAGAACUUCAGAAUAUAUAUACGAAAUUAAGAUAACAUAUUAGAGCUAAAUUCUCACUAUGAGUUGGGCUUUGAUCUCUUCUACUGAUAGCAAUGGUUUUCCCUUUGUGUCGCUGAUUGUAAUGAAAACAUCGAGUAUGUCCUCAACCUCCUUCUUCUCCCCAUUUCUCCAUUGUAUUAUUCUUUCAUCCACAAUCGGAUCAUGAUGCUUGUUGAUGAUUCUCAAAGCCUCUUUUACCAUCUUCUCAUGGCCAUCUAGGUCGAAGACUCUCAGGCAUGGAAGGUAAUCAGAUGGAGAGAAUACAUAUAGGUAAGCAAGCGUGGUAAAGAGGGAGUUUACGUGUUCUUCUUCUUCAAGUCCAGGCCCUCCAUCUUUCCUUCCUUCCCCAAAGUACCUUCUGCUGAACAUCAUCUUCCUAACCACAUUUCCUGUGUAUUGUCUGACUGUAUUUCUCACAUUCACAACCGAUGAUUCCGUAAAAUUAUGGCUAGUAAUACUAGAGAACUUACACUGGUUAUAAAUGAAGCGGACAAGAUUGUCGGCUUCUUCAGUUCUCUUCUGGAGGAGCCACAUAUGUCUUGCUGGCUUAAGCACCUCAGAAGUGAUGAUCCUUCUCAUCUUCUUCCACUGCUCUCCCCAUGGCGAAAGGACUGUGGUCAGGAAUCCUCUGCUCAAGUGAUCGGACGUCAUUGUAAUAGGUCUGGAUGCAAACACUGCAUCAUGUUUCUUCAAAAACUCCCUGGCAAUCUCAGGCGAAAUCACGGGAAUGACAUGGACAUUGCCCAGUUUGAUGCAUGCAAUCUCAGUGUUGAGUUCCUCCAAAAGUCCAAGUAUCCACCGGAAUACCGGCUUUUUUGUGAAUAAUUCAGGCAGGUUCCCAACUAAUGGCCAUGGAGUUGGGCCAGGAGGGAGCAGUGGCAUUGGCUUGGUGAUUAGGGUUUUGGGUUUGAGUUUGUAGAGGAUAAGAAAAGCGAAAAAGAAAAGGAAAAGGAGCAAGAGGAUGAAUGGUAAAUGAAGAUGAAGUGAAACGAGCUUCAAGGUUUCAGAAUUAUGAGAGAGCAGGAAGAGGAAUGAAUUUGGAAAUGAAGAAGACAUGGUUGAGUUGCAGCUGCUACCCAUCAUCAUUUGUCUCUUGCUGAUCUUCAGUACUAGGAUGCAUGAGAAACCUCCCAUACAUUUGCUCUCUCUUUAUAGGCAAAUGGACUUUCACUAUACAGGCCUUUCAUACUUCCCAUCAAUGGUAGGAUUACUCCUCUUGUACGGUCAAAAUCAUGUUAGAUUUUGGUCCAACAGACAGGGGUGGCAUGGUCUGGUAGGAUAAAUUGGUAUAAUAUUUAGGGAAAUACGGUCGACCCAUAUCCAAACAAUUGAAUUUGAUAAUGUAAUCUCUUGUCAGUGAUCUUAAGAGGAUAAAAUUUGUUCUAACCCAAUAAAAAAAAUGCCUCCAUUUUGUGACACAUGGUAAAUGUGAAGGUGCAGAACCAUAUAGUUUGGAUCCCUCCUAAUCCUAAUCCUAAGCCCCAUUAAAAAAAUCCCACCACUUUUUUGGACACAUACAACAAAUUAUUAUUAUUUUCUUCCAAGUGGCGUACGUUGAUUUUAGGGAGGAAACUUUUUAUGAAAAGACCAUUGUCUCUCCAUGAAAAGAAAAACGUUUUAAUUAAUCUCUUACUAUUACUUGCAAUAAAAAUGUGAUAAAUUAUCAUCAAUUAUUACUAUUACUAUUACAAGUCCAUUGGAUGGCAAUAAAUAUGUUGUCACACAUCGAGUGAAAACGACUCAUGUAGUUUAAAAAAUAGCAAUUUUUAAAAAUAAUUUUAAAAAAUAGUUUUCAAUUAUUUUCAAAAAUAAAAUUUUAUUUUAAAACUCAAACAUAAAUUAAUAUAAUUUUCUCAAUUUAUUCUUACCCCGAAUAUAAACAUUUUUGAAAUAUUUUUAAUUUUCUAAUCUUAAUGCAUAAAACCUAUGAAAAAUAGCUUAAAACAUCUUAUUUUUUUUUAAAUUAAUCUAUUUUCAUAACAAAUUUGAAAAAAUUAAUUUCAAUUAAACUUUUGCAAACAUAAUUUUUAAAUUUGAAAACAUUUUUCUAUUCAUACUAAAUACACCCAUAACUUUUACUUUAGUUGUUUUAAAAGGUGUUGUCAAUUAAAUCAAAAAAUAAGAUUUUCCUUCUCUUUUUGAUAAUUUUUUUGCUUUUUCAAGGUCUUUGAGAAAUAGCUUUUUGUGUCAACAUUUUCCAAUCUUCUCUAGACUCUAGCAUUCAUAGAGCUAAUAGAAGAAAUUUAUUAUCCAUCACCUAAUAAUUGAGUUUGUUUAAUUUUAUUCAAUUUGAUAAUUAAAAAAAUUUAUCAUAAAGUUUAAAUAUUGUGUGUUAAAAUAUCGAGUUUUCUUUAUAAUUCUCGAUAAUUUUAUUUUUAUUCAUAUUAGAUCAAGAAGCUUUUUAUAUAGUGAGUUACUCUCCACUAAAAGAUUCGAUGUUAUCGUUGGAAUAAUUAAAAAAAAAAAAAAAAGCGUAAGCCUAAAAAGAUUUGUUUCGUGAAGGGAUUAAAAUGUUAAAAUGAACCAUAUUAAUAGCGCCCAUUCAACCCUACCCCCACCCUCGAUGUUGGCCUUUUGGACAAGACGUUUUUUCAUUGAAUUUAUAAAAAUCUGCGGGGCCAUGUUUUGACACACAAUAAGGGUGGAGGAUCAAAAGCCAGGAGUCUGGAUCCCUCCUACUCAAAAGUUCAAGCCAUGUGGGUCAUGUUGUGAGACAGACGGUUGAAGAAGCAGAAUUUCAUAUUUAAAAAUUAAUUAAUUAAUUAAUUAAUUAAUUAAUUUUACAUAUGAUCCCACUACAAAAAUAUUUAUCACAUGAUAAUUGCGUGGUUCAACGUAGAAAAUGAAAAUCACAACACGGAAGUGACACGUUUGGAAGUUUGAAGGUUUGAAUGAAACUUAUGUAGAUGAUAUGUAAACAUGGUCUCAAUCCAUUGAACUUCUUAAGAACCAUUUAAUUAAUUUAAAAUUUAUAAAUGUAUUAUUUAGUUGAUUUAAAUUUGAAGUUCAAUUUAAUUAUAGAAUAUUUUUAGUAUUUAUAAUAAUAUAUGACAUUUUAUUUAUCUAUUAUUUGAUUUUUUUUAAUUAAAUGACAUUAAUAAUCAUUUUUUUAUUUUUUAAAAUUAUAAAAAUAUAAGUUGAGAAAUUCAUAUAAGUUAAAUGAGUCAUAUCAUACACGGAUCAAUUUCACAUGGUUAAUUAAACAUGUUAAACAUAUCAUAUAUAAGUUUAUAUAAGUUAGGUCAUAAAUGGAUUAUUUUAAAAUCAUUACGUAAACAAGUUAUAUAAUGUUGUAAAGUGUUUCAAAUUCUUAAUUAGCAUAAAUUCAUUUUUGCAAAGAUUAUUGUAUAAAAUAUUUUCUAAGUCGAUAUGAUAUUAUAACAAUAGUUUUUUUUCUUUUUAUAGAAUAAGCAGAAAGAUAUUAGGAAUAUCUUUCUAUAUAUUAUAAGUGAUGAGUGGAAAAGUCAUUAAAUAGAGAUAAGGUUGUAAAGGCUAUACGUGAUUGAUAGAGGCGUUCAAUGGAGGUAGAUGAGCUGUGGUUAAAAAUACAAAUAUAAGGAAUGAGAAAAUAUGAGAUGUUUUGAAAAUUCAAUAAUUACAUUUAGUUUUUAUCUUAUGUAAUAUCGUCUAUGAUAUAGUCGAAUUAUUUUCUUUCAUUUAUCGAUAUAAAUAUGGUUAGUCGAAUCAUGUUAAAAUUACAUGUAUUUUAAUGUAAAUGAUUUAUUUUUGUGUUUUUGAGUUAACAUUGUUUGCAUUAAAACUUUCAUUUGCACAACAAAUAAAUCAUAAAUGGGUCAACUUGCUAAAUGGGUUAGAUGGAUUGAUUCGAGUUUAAAUGGGUUAUAAAAAUUGACAUGGCUAAAUAGGAUGAAGGAUGAGAAAAGCGAAAACGAGCAAGAGAAAAUGGACAGUAAAUGCAGAUGAAUUCGAAGUAAAGCAAGCUCUAAGGUUUCAGAAUUACGAGAGACCUCCCAUACAUUUGCUCUCUCAUUAGGCAAAUGAACUUCCACAUGCAUGCAGACCUCCCACUUUCCACAUGCAAUAAUUCUCGUCAUGAACACGACAACUUCUUUUGGACCCCCCAAGAUGUUGGGUUUUGGUACAAUUCACGUAGUGCAAUUAUAGAAAACACCUGUAAAAUUUUGGGUUGAUUUCAUUUACAUUUAAAAUUUAGGAUUAAUUUCAUCCACAUCCCAAUAAUUUUAAAAUUUUUAUAUUUUAAUAAAUAUUUUUUAAAAAUAAAAAGACAACUUAAUUUUUGUGGUGAGGACAGGCCCAAUUUUGUGGACAAAAAAAAUAUUUGUACAUGUGACCUCUACUUUAAAGAUACCUAUUAGUGAAUGAACUUAUAAUAUUCAAUAAAUGAAACAAGAGUUUCAUCAAAAUAAAUAUUCAUAGAAAAAUAUCAUUCAAAUCUUGCAUCUACAAGGUUUAAUAAAUGUUUAUUAUAAAAAGAGAGUUAAAAUCAAUAGAAAAUUACUAAUCACUAUUGAAAACCCAACUUAAUAAGUUAUAUAUACUAGCAAUGACAAUAAAUAUAAUAUAAUAGAAAAAAUAUAUAUGUACAAAAGAAUUUAAAGUUAUAUAUUUUUUAAACCUCUCGUAUAUUUGAUUUCGUUUGUGUGAAAUAAUUAAUAAGUAAAAUAAAUAAAAUCCAUAAUCCAUGAUCGAAUUAAUAAUUUAUAUUCAACAUAUUAUGAUCUAAAUAUGUAAAAAUUAAUUUAUAGAUCAAAAUUUUGAAUGUGGGUGUACUAUCUUUGUAUUUGUUGGUACACUAUACACCUAUUUAACAACAUGAAAGACUUUUUUUCAUUUAAUUAAAUUCAGAUUAAAUUAAAAAAUCAAGUCAUUUUUUAAACAAAACUCACCGUGGCAAAAGUAGAAUCUCAAAGACCCUUAAUUUGCCACCAAGUAAUAAUUCAAAUUGCUCAAAAAUAGAAAUUUAUAUUUUUUUUAGUCAAAUCCUAUAAAAAGUUUAUAUAUUUUUCCUAGUCGGAAUUUCUAUUUAGUUAAGUAUAAGUAUAUAUAAAUAGAAGAUUAUGUAAUAUUUGAAUAAAAAAGAGUGGUGAAAUGUAAUAAAAUUUUUAAUUCUUCCUAAUUUCAUAUUCUUUGUAAUAAUUGUUUAUGUUUAUCUAACAACACUAUUACUCCAAUAAAUUGGAAACAAAAUCAUACAAAAAAAUGGUAAGUGGAAUGUAUUUAUUUCACGUCCUUCGACUCAAUAAAGACAAUUGUAACGAUUGGAAUAUAAAGAUAAGGGUUUUGCUUAGUUCACAAAGACACAUGAAAGUUUAUAGAGAAAGACCACAAAAAGUCAUAAGAUGAAACCACUAUAUCUCCAAAUCAAAAACAAUUUUUUAAAAGAUAUAAGGAAGGAAAACAAAAACGCAUUUACCAUUUUCUAUCAAAUAAGGAAUGAAAAUAGUUUUCAAAAGAUUUUAAGUACAAUUACUUCCAAAGAAUUUUAGAAGAUAAGGUAUGAAAAGUUUGUAUUCAAGCUCUCAGUGGAGAAUACGAGAAGUUUUUCAUAAAAUUUCAAAUUAGUGGUUGUGUGGAUUCUUUGAGGUCAAUUUGCUCGUGGUUGUGUGGCGCACUCCAUGAAAAACCUUGAAGAAGCCUUGCCAAGAGUGUAACUGUCAAUGUUGUCCCUAGGGCAGUUCCAAAGCACCAUUGUCUCUUAGCACUAAAUGAAAUGAAUCGAACCUCAGGCUCAGCUAAAUCCAACACAUCAUCAUUCAUAUGCCGCUCUGGUUUGAACCUUAAUGGCUCUUCCCAAACUUUAGGGUUUCGCCCAAGCCCUACCUGGUUCAGUAGGACAUGACUGCCUUUAGGGAUGAAGUAGCCGGCUACAAUAGCAUCCACCAUGGACAGAUGGGGGUCAUUGAAUGAUGACAUGGGGUGAAGACGCAUAGCUUCCCUUCCACAUGCCUUAACAUAUUUGAGCUGCAUAAUAUCGAAUUCUUUAACAAGUCUCUCCUUUCCAACCACUCUAUCGAUUUCUUCCAUGACCUUCUGCAUAAUCUCGGGUUAAUUGAUCAUUUUGACCUGGUAGACAAUACCUAGUUGAUCAACAAGAAGAAGACUCAAGUCACAAACCAAGAUCAACUACAACAAACCAAAGUCUGUUAAGAAUUCCUUGAAAUAGGAGGUUAGUUAGUUAGGUUGUUGUCAAUAUAAAUAUAAAAAAAUCAAUGUACAAGUACUUGAUAUUUUUUUCUAAUACAAUAAGAAAUAUUCAUUUUCUGCAACCUAGUUUCUAAAACUUUCAUGGUAUUAGAGCUUUGGUAUUUUCUUGACAAGACUUUUUCUUCUUCAUAUCAGUUUCAGUUUUUCUUAGACAACCUCCAUUCUAUUCAUGAUGAGUUCAACAUAGUCAUUAGGGUUACAAGCUAGUACUUUACCUUCAUUCACUGGUGUUACUCAAACAAUGCAGAUACUGAAUCAUGCAAUAUCGAUCAAACUUGAUAAAAAUAAUUACGUUCUUUGGAGAACACAAAUGAAGAAUGUUAUCUUUGCCAGUGGCUUUGAAGAUCAUAUUGAGGGUCUGAAAAUUUGUCCACCUCAGAUAACAAGUUCUGGAGAAACAAACCCAUAUUUUAUUUUGUGGCGACGAUUCGAUAGCAUGAUUCUCAGUUGGAUCUACUCCUCACUUAUUCCUAAAAUGAUGGUCCAAAUAGUUGCCUAUCAAUCCUCUCAUGUAGCCUUGUUUGCUUUAGAAUGAAUCUUUUUAGCUUCCUCAAGGGCUAGGGUGAUGCAACUACGCCUAGAGUUCCAAACCACAAGAAAAGGGUCAUUGACAAUGAUGGAAUAUAUUCUUAAACUAAAGAGUUUGGAGGAUAAUUUGGCGGCCAUUGGAGAACCUGUGACUGAUAGAGAUCAGAUUCUCCAACUUCUUGGAGGUCUUGGGGUAGACUACAACUCGAUAGUAGCCUCUUUUAAAAUACGUGAAGAUGAUAUGUCUCUCCAUUCUGUACACAACAUUUUACUCACCCAUGAACAACGACUUGGCUUUCAGAAUUUAGUUACAGAAGAUAACAUCAUCUCUACUAAUCUUGCUACACCACAAUAUCAACAUUUUAACAAUAAAAUAUCAUCCAACAGAAAUCUCUCCGGUCAAAAUAGGUAGUCUGGGUUCAACAUAAGAAGAGAUACAAAUGGUAGGUGCUCACAAUCAUCUCAGAAUCGACCAUAGUGCCAGCUUUGGCCAUACUAUGGUUCGUUGCUACCACAAAUUUGAUAUUAACUUCCAAGGCUACAACCUUAAUAUGGACACUGUUCAAACCAAUAAACCAAAUGAUAAGAAUCCAGUGCAAGCUAUGAUGGCAUCUCCUUCCACCAUAUCUGAUGAGACAUGGUUUUUUGACACUAGUGCUAUACAUCACCUACCACAAAGUGUUGAUACACUCUCAAAUGUACGACCAUACAUGGGUAAUGAUAAGGUGAUCGUUGGGAAUGGUAAGCACCUUCGUAUUUUACAUACAAACACUACCUUAUUUGAUUCCUCUUCUAAAACCUUUCAGCCAAGACAAGUACUUCACGUUUCUUAUAUUGCUACUAAUCUCAUUAGUGUCUCACAUUUUUGUGUCGAUAAUAAUACUUUCUUUGAGUUUCAUCCUCGGUUAUUUUUUGUCAAAGAUCAGGUCACCAAGAAGAUACUUUUUCAAUGACGUCUUGAACAUGGCUUAUAUAGAUUCCUUGCCAAAUUUGUGUCUUCACUUGCAACUUUUGUUUCUUCUAGCUAUAACAGGUCUUCCAAUCUUUCUUUAACAACCACAAUUACACUUUGGCAUUCUCAUCCUCUAUUUGAAACACAUUCUUACCUUUUGUAAUAUUUCACAUCAAUGCUAUAAAAACAAUGUCAGUUAUGCUUGUUAAUUUGCAAAAAGUCAUAAAUUGAUUUUCAAUGUGUCUGUUUCUAGAGCUUAUAAUCAUCUAGCUUUAAUUCAUACUAAUCUUUUGGGCUCUGCUUCCAUUCCAUCCACAACUGGUGUACGCUACUUUAUCUUGUUUGUUGAUGAUUUCUCUCAUUUCCCUUGGAUUUCUCCAUUACACAACAAAGAUCAAGCAUUAUUUGUAUUCAUAAAAUUAAAAAAACUAGUUGAAAAUCGGUUUAAUUCUCGAAUAUAAUGUUUACGGUCUGAUAAUGGUGGUGAAUUUAAAUCAUUUUCUUCAUAUCUUGCUACACAUGGUAUUGUAAGUCAGUUUUCUUGUCCAUACACACCUGAACAAAAUGGCCGAGCAGAGCGUAAAUUAUGACAAAUAAUUGACACUAGUCUUGCUCUAUUAGCCACUACAUUUUUACCUUUCAAGUUUUGGCUAUAUGCAUUUCAUAUAACUAUUUUCCUUAUUAAUCGGCUACCUAUUAAGGCUGUCAAUUAUCAAUCUUCCUUUCAAUUUUUUUUUUUUUGGCAAAUCACCAAAUUAUCACAUCCUUAAAAUUUUCGGUUGCUUAUGCUACCCUUAUAUUCAACCAUACAAUAAAAAUAAACUCUCCUAUCGCUUUAAUUGAUGCGUCUUCCUUGGAUAUAGUUCCGAUCACAAAGAAUAUAUGUGUCUUAACCCCCUAUUAGGUCGUCUCUAUGUUACUAGACAGUGUUCCCAUUUCAGUCUACUCCUGAUCAAUCCUCAUCUAUGCUUCUCAUCCCUUCUCCAACCCUUCUUUCUUGCUUAUCUUCUCCCAUGUCUUCACUACAUUCACAUACAACUCUUUCCACCUCAAACCCAACGUUAACUAAUAUGCCUUCCUCCACUACUUCUUUACCAGACUUGAUACGAGUUCUUUUUGUUGACAUCUCCACCUCUAAACCUCAAUUUAUUAAUCAGCAUCCCAUGGUCACCCGUGCAAAGAAUGGCAUCAGCCAGAAGAAGGCCUACUUAUAAUUUUGUAUUUUUGAACCCACUACAUUUACAUAGGCUGUUAAAGAUUCAAAUUGGAUUCUUGCCAUGGAAAAAGAGUUUUCUAUUCUCCAAAGAAACAACACAUGACAUCUUGUUCCACCGUCCUCCAAUAGCAAUAUAAUUGGUUGUAAAUGGGUCUACAAACUCAAAUAUAAGCUCGAUGGAACAGUUGAUUGCCAUAAGGCCCGGUUAGUUGCACAAGGAUUUACUCAAACUCUGGAUCUCGAUUGUUUUGAGACUUUUAGUCUAGAUGUCAAGGCCUCUACUAUCCACAUUAUACUUGUAGUUGCACUUUCAUUUAAUUACUCGGUUCACCAACUUGAUAUUCAGAAUGUCUUUCUCCAUGGAGAUCUUGAAGAACAUGUGUAUAUGCAUCAACCCCUUGACUUUAUCAAUUCUCAAUUUCCUUCUCAUGUUUGUAAGCUUAACAAGGUUUUAUAUGGCCUUAAGCAGCACCCCCCCCCCCCCCCCCCCCCGGGCAUGGUAUGCCAAACUCAACAUUUCACUUCUUGGAUGAGGAUUUCAAGCUUCUCGAGUUGAUAGCUCGAUGUUUACUCAUCAUUCAACACAUGAUGUUUUUAUUUUGCUUAUUAUGUAGACAACAUGUAUACUAGUAACUGGCAGCAACUCAGCUUAGGUUUCCUCCUUUAUUACUCGUCUCAACUCAUUUUUUGUUCUUCGUGACUUGGGCUAUGUCAAUUAUUUUUUGGGCAUUAAAGUAGUUCGUCAUGGUACUAUGUUUCAUCUUAGUCAACACAACCAUGCUAGACUCCAAGCUUGCUACCACUCUAGAAUUGUUAAGACAAACGUUAUCUCAUCUUGAUGGUGAACCUCUCUCGGAUGCCACCUUAUAUCGAAGCACAAUUGGUGUACUUCAAUACCUUACCCUUACUAGACCAGACAUUUCAUUUGCCUUUAAUAAAGCCUGUUAGUUCAUGGCUACACCCACCACUACUCACUAGCUUGUUAUAAAACGAAUUUUGUGAUAUCUCAAGGGUACUUUAUCCUAUGACAUUCAGAUGCAGUAGUCUACCUCGUUGGAUAUUCAUGGAUAUAUUGAUGCUGACUGGGCAUCUUGUCCAGAUGACAGAAGAAGCAUCGGUGGCUAUGACAUCUUCCUUGGUCUGAAUUUAGUGUCGCGGUCCUCCAACAAACAAAAGGUUGUGUCUCGCAGCAGUGCACAAUCUAAGUAUCAUGUUCUUGCAUAUGCUACUUUGGAGAUUAUUUGGAUCCAAUCUAUUUUAUAGGAAAUCUGUCUCUUUUCCUCCUCUCCACCUCUACUUUGGUGUGAUAAUAAAAGUACAGCUCACUUGGCUGCUAAUCCAGUGUUUCAUGCUAGGAUCAAACUCAUUGAGCUAGAUCUACACUUUAUACGAGAUCAAGUUCUUCAUAAACAACUCGUUAUUCAGUAUAUUCCUUCAUCCAAAUAGGUUGCUAACAUUUUCACUAAACAUAUUUCAAGCUCCUAGUUUUUUAGUUUCAUAACGAAACUCUCUGUUGUUUCCUCACUUAUGAGCUUAUGGGGGGAUGAUAAACAAUACCUAGCUGAUCAACAAGAAGAAGACUCAAGCCGCAAGUGUAGGAAGAUUGUAAAUAAUUUUUAUUUUUAUUUUAUUCUAUUAGUCUUAUAUUUUUGGGAAGAGUUCUAUUGAGAAUUAUUUUUAUUUUAUUUUAUUCUAUUAAUCUUAUAUUUUUGGGAAGAGUCCUAUUGGGAUUGUGCUAGUGGAGUCCCAUUCCACUUAUAAGUAGAUUCUCCUUCCACUUUGAGUCAUGUUCUGAUUACAAGUAGAGUCCCAUUGGGAUUGUAUUAGUGGCCUAUAAAAACAGGUCACCCCUUACUCUCUAUAUACGAAUACUAAUUUUUCAUAGAGUUUUUCAAAGAGUCUUUCAUAUAUCUAUCCGGAGGAAUUUUUUCAGAACCAAGUUAUACGCAUCUCGCUUACAAAGUGCACCCAAGGCGAGAUCUGGUUGUUGAAUCCUGGAAGUAGACCAUUGGUACCCUAGUACACCGAGUUCGUCUUUGAGGAGGGUGAAUCUAUUUCAAGGACAGUGUUUGUCACGCCUCAGUCGAUAAGCUUUUCUUCUUAUUCAUUAUGUUUUUUGUUUAUGUCUUUUGGGCUAGUCUUUUAUUUCCAUACCCUUAAAUCCAACAACAAGAAGCUAACUGUCUGGGAUCAACUACAACAAACCAAAGUAUGUUAAGAACGUCUUGAAGUAGGAGGUUAGUCAUUUAGGUUGUUGUCAAUAUAAAUAUAAAAACAUCAGUGUACAAGUACUUGGUAUCUUUUUCUAAUACAAUAAGAAAUAUUCAUUUUCUAUGACCCAGUUUCUAAAACUUUCACGGCUAUUGCCCACUCAGCUGCCUACGCUGGAUUAUCCACUAUUUAAAAGAUACAAUCUCUUCUAAAAGAUGUGUUUGGUGUUUUAAGACAUCCCUUUAAAAGAUGUGUCUAGUAUUUUGAAGACACAUCUAUAAAAUCUAUAAAUAGGGCACCAUGACAUAUUCAUUCAUCAAUUCUUUUCAUUUUUUUUCUUUUUUUCUUGUCAUUCAAGUAUUCUUUAACUUCAAGUCUAAUCAUUUCUCAUUUUUACCAAAUAUUUGGUAUUUAAGAGAGUAUAAAUUACCAAGUGAUUCAUUAUUUAUUAUGGUUUGAAGUGCUAUUAUAACAAGAAAGUGAUCAUUAUGUUCUAGGAGACGAUUGUUCAUAAACCACAAGCACCUAAGUGGGACAAAUUCAUUUUAAGGACAUAAAGUCAAACCAUCAAUCUUAUUUGUGAGUUUCAAUUUUCUACUUUAUUUUAUUUGUAUAUUUAUUAUACACACUUAUUAUCCAUAUAUUUUCAGUGAUUUGAUAACAUAAUAUUUAUUUUUUCAUAUUUGGUAGUUUUAAAGUGUUAUACAUAUCUAGGAGUUGAAUUCAUUUUUAACUCCAAAUUUUAAGAUAUGGGGGAAUUGGUCAAAUAGGUUCAAAAUUUAGAUACCAAUGUAGCGAUCCCAAUUCCCACAUAACAAGAGAAAAAUAAAAUACCAUUAAAAUAUCUUUAAUAAUAACUUCCUAUUUGUCAUAUAUAAUGGUGGGAUUUUUCCAUAAAUUAAUUUAUGAUUUAAAAAAAGCACUUUGUGGUAGGAUAUUUUUUUCAGCAAAAAAAUUAUUUGUAGCGAGUUUGUUAUUAUAAGUCCAUGAACAUCUGGUAUCCACACAAUUAAUAAAAGAUCGAAGCUUAUCAUCUAUAAUAAUAAACUAUUAUAAUAAGGUAGAUGAUUGGCCAUCAUCUUAGGAGUCUUUUCUUAAUCAAUUUGAUAAUAUCAUAUAGUUAAUUACAAUGGAAUUUCUUUGUAAUCAAUAUAAUGUUACCUUAUUAACCAUUAUCUUAACAAUGGAGUCUUUUUUUUAAUCAUUUUGAUAAUUACAAUGUAAUCUCUUUGUAGUCAAUAUGAUAACAUCAUAUGACUUUAGAGGUCUAAGUUAGAUGAAAUAUAUGGAAUAAACUACUCAAAAUUUGGUCAAUGUAAUACCAAUACCCGUACAUUGAUCAUUUUUAUUAGGUAAAGGAUACCUAAUCCAUUGAAGAACCUCAUUUAAAGGUUUGUAGUUGAUUAUAAGUCUUGGGGCACCCCUUUCAAUCUCAGCAAAUGCCCAAAGGGAACAAUGAAUGCAGUUUUAUAUUUGUUUUUUUCUUCAAUUUUGAUUUGUCAAAAUCUUGAUUUUAAAUCAAAUUAUUAAAAGAUUGAAGCAUCAUGAAGGCAACUAAUAGGAUCCUUUUUAUUAGGUAAAGGAUACCUAAUCCAUUAAAGAACCUCAUUUAAAGGCUUGUAGUUGAUUACAAGUCUUUGAGCACCUGGAACUCCCUUACUAACUCAACUCUGUCCUUUUAUGAUGAAUUUCUUCUAAUUAGUGAAAGUUCUUCGUCAUAUGAUAGUUCUUCUUCACAAUCAUCAUGUGAUUGUGUGAAAAACUGAAGUAUCAACUAUUUGUCAAACAUGAAUGGAAUGUGAUGCCUUUGAUCAUUAAAUUUGGUUACAAUUCCUUCAUCACUUACUCAAUUGGUUUGGUUGUGCCUUGGUAAAUUUCAAAUCCUAAGAAUUUAAUCCUGCUUUGAAAUAGUUUGAUCUUAGGGGUAAAUAUUACUAGUCUAUUAUCUUUGACAAUUUUUUGAAAGAUUUUUAUAUGCUUGAAGUGUUGAUCAAUAGAAUUUGAAAAUAUAAGAACAUCAUCAAUGUAUACAAUGGUAAAGCUUGUAUAGGGAUUGAAAAUGUUAUUAACCAUUAUCUUAACAAUGAAGUAUUUUUUUAAUCAUUUUGAUAAUUACAAUGUAAUCUCUUUGUAGUCAAUUUGAUAACAUCAUAUAUAUGACUUUAGAGGUCUAAGUUAGAUGACCCAUUAAAAUACGUCAUGUUUGGGGUGGAAUAUUAUGUCAAAUAUUUAAAAAAGAAAAAUGAAAAUAAUUCGAUAAUAUUUUUAGUAAUAUAUCAUAUAACAAGAAAGUGGGUUUUGAAAAUUUCACUUAUUAAGAAGAGAUUCUAAAAAGGAAUUUUAAAAUUUUAUCAAAUGUGUAAGUUCUGAGAAAGCAAUUCCAAACAUUAAGAAGUACUACUUACAACCUCUUUCAAAAUCAAAUGCGUAAUGUAAAGUUGGACAACGUUUGUGAACAUAUUUGGGAGUCAACUUAGAAGUUUAGGAUAGAAGAGUCAACUUUGUAAAGUUGGACAAUGUUUGUGAACAUAUUUAGGAGUCAACUUAGAAGUUUAGGAUAGAAGAGUCAACUUAGAAGGAUGCAAGAUUUAAAUGUUAACGUGGACAUGCAUGACGUAUACACUACAAUGAAAGGAAAAAAAAAGAAAAAAAAUAAGGAAAAACCCACUGCAAAUCAAUUAAAAUACAAAUAUUUUUUAUAAUAUAUUUUUUAAAAUUUUAUAUUAUAUUUGGUGUAAAAAAACAUUUUCUAGUUUUUAUUUUCUAAAAAUUAUUUUAUUUUAUCUUUUUUUAUUAAUUAUUUUUAGAAAAUAAAAUUUAUAAAAACUUACUUGGUUUUGAGUUUUUAUUAAUGUAAAAAAUGGUUUAAAAAAUAUAAUUAAAAUUUUCUAUAAUAGGAUCAUGUUGAUAAUAAAAAUUUUAUAUAAUAAAAAUUAUGAUAAUAAAAGUGAAAUAUAAUGACAUAUCAUUUUUCAUAUAUCUUUGUAUCCCCAAAGCAUCAUGUGAUAAGUGGAGAAGAAAAGAAAAUAGGAUGAGAGCAUUUAUCCUUAUUGACUCAUAAAUCCUUAUUUAUAGGCUCUACUCAUCAAGCCCCGGAAUAGAUGAAGUUUUAAUCAAUUCCCAUACAUGGAAGCAGGCAAGCGUGGUUUUGCAUGAGCAUGGAGAGGCUUGGCUAGAAAGAGCUCGUUCAUUGAUUCUGUGAGGUCAAUUUGGUCCUGGUUCGGUGGCACACUCCACGAAAAACAUUGAAGGAGUCUCGCCAAGAGUGUAACUGUCAAGGCUGUCCCUAAGGCAGUUCCAGGACACCCGCGUCUCCCAGUACUAAAUGAAAUGAACCGAAGCUCAUGCUCAGCUAAAUCCACCACUUCAUCAUUCAUGUGCCGCUCUGGUUUAAACUUUAAUGGCUCUUCCCACACUCUAGGGUUCCGUCCAAGCCCUACCCGGCUCAGCAGGACAUGGCUGCCUUUGGGGAUGAAGUAACCGGCCACAACGGCGUCCGCCAUGGACACAUGGGGCACGUUGAAUGGUGCCAUGGGGUGAAGCCGCAGAGCUUCCCUAGCACAGGCUUUAACAUAUUUGAGCUGCGCGAUAUCGGAUUCUUGAACAAGUCUAUCCUUUCCAACCACUCUAUCGAUUUCUUCUACGGCCUUCUGCAUAAUCUCGGGUUGAUUGAUCAUUUCUGCCAUUGCCCACUCAGCUGCAUGCGCUGGAUUGUCCACUAUUUCAAUCAUCAGUUCCUGCCAGAUUGUAUAUAGUUAAUAUAUAUUGAACCCCAAAGAGAAGAACUUCAGAAUAUAUAUACGAAAUUAAGAUAACAUAUUAGAGCUAAAUUCUCACUAUGAGUUGGGCUUUGAUCUCUUCUACUGAUAGCAAUGGUUUUCCCUUUGUGUCGCUGAUUGUAAGGAAAACAUCGAGUAUGUCCUCAACCUCCUUCUUCUCCCCAUUCCUCCAUUGUAUUAUUCUCUCAUCCACUAUCGGAUCAUGAUGCUUGUUGAUGAUGCUCAAAGCGUCUUUUACCAUCGUCUCAUGGCCAUCUAAGUCGAAGACUCUCAGGCAUGGAAGGUAAUCAGAUGGAGAGAAUGAAUAUAGGUAAGCAAGCAAAGUAAAGAGGGAGUUGACGUGUUCUUCUUCUUCAAGUCCAGGCCCUCCAUCUUUCCUUCCUUCCCCAAAGUACCUUCUGCUGAACAUCAUCUUCCUAACCACAUUUCCUGUGUAUUGUCUGACUGCAUUUCUCACAUUCACAACCGAUGAGUCCGUAAUAUUAUGGCUAGUAAUACUAGAGAACUUACACUGGUUAUAAAUGAAGCGGACAAGAUUGUCGGCUUCUUCAGUUCUCUUCUGGAGGAGCCAAAUAUGUCUUUCUGGCUUAAGCACCUCAGAAAUGAUGAUCCUUCUCAUCUUCUUCCACUGCUCUCCCCAUGGAGAAAGAGCUGUUGUCAGGAACCCUCUGCUCAAGUGAUGGGACGCCAUUGUAAUAGGUCUGGAUGCAAACACUGCAUCAUGUUUCUUCAAAAACUCCCUGGCAAUCUCAGGCGAAAUCACGGGAAUGACAUGGACAUUGCCCAGUUUGAUGCAUGCAAUCUCAGUGUUGAGUUCCUCCAAAAGUCCAAGUAUCCACCGGAAUACCGGCUUUUUUGUUAAUAAUUCAGGCAGGUUCCCAACUAAUGGCCAUGGAGUUGGACCAGGAGGGAGCAGUGGCAUUUGCUUGGUGAUUAGGGUUUUGGGUAUGGGUCUGUAGAGGAUGAGAAAAGCGAAAACGAAAAGGAA